rnacentral:rRNA from 1 species
GACGAACGCUGGCGGCGCGCUUAACACAUGCAAGUCGAACGGAAAGGCCUGCUUUUCCUUGUGGAUUGCGGGUACUCGAGUGGCGAACGGGUGAGUAACACGUGAGUGAUCUGCCCCCAACUUGGGUAUAAGCCUGGGAAACUGGGUCUAAUUCCCGAUAGGACUGCAGGGUGGUGCCUGUGGUGGAAAACGAUUUUCUAGUGGUUGGGGAUUAGCCCGCGGCGUAUCAGCUUGUUGGUGGGGUAAUUGCCUACCAAGGCGGGGAGGGGAAGCCAGAGGGAGAGGGGGGACAGCGAAAUUGGGACUGAGUCACGGCCCAGACGGCUACGAGAGGCAGGGGUGGGGAAGAAAGCAGCGUGGGCGGAAGCCUGAUGCAGCGACGCAGCGUGGGGGAUGUCGGCCUUGGGGUUGUAAACUCCUUGCGACCACGAGGAAGGCAACUGGUUGGAAGGGUGGUGACGGUAGUGGUAGAAGAAGCACCGGCUAACUACGUG